rnacentral:rRNA from 1 species
AUUGAACGCUGGCGGCAUGCCUUACACAUGCAAGUCGAACGGCAGCACGGACUUCGGUCUGGUGGCGAGUGGCGAACGGGUGAGUAAUGUAUCGGAACGUACCUUUCAGUGGGGGAUAACGUAGCGAAAGUUACGCUAAUACCGCAUAUUCUGUGAGCAGGAAAGCAGGGGAUCGAAAGACCUUGCGCUGAUUGAGCGGCCGAUAUCAGAUUAGCUAGUUGGUGGGGUAAAGGCCUACCAAGGCGAGGAUCUGUAGCGGGUCUGAGAGGAUGAUCCGCCACACUGGAACUGAGACACGGUCCAGACUCCUACGGGAGGCAGCAGUGGGGAAUUUUGGACAAUGGGGGCAACCCUGAUCCAGCCAUGCCGCGUGAGUGAAGAAGGCCUUCGGGUUGUAAAGCUCUUUCGGCCGGGAAGAAAUCGCAUAGGCUAAUACCCUGUGUGGAUGACGGUACCGGAAGAAGAAGCACCGGCUAACUACGUG